rnacentral:lncRNA from 1 species
CUAAACCGGUCAUAAUAAUUUAAAUCAAUUAAACCAAGCAAUCUCAUUAAAGUAAACCAACAAUAUUAACCAGCGGAAGACUUAACCAAAAAUCCAAUAAAACAAUUCCAUUAAACCAACAAGUUCAACCAAACAUUAUUCCAAAACAUGAUCAUCCUAACAUGUUUCUAAAUUCCAUUCUAACACCCUAACAAAUCCAACAAUAAUCUAAAACACCUAUGAGCACCUAGAUCAUCCUCUUCUCCUCGCCAUGAUUCCACGGAUCACACUUUGCUUUUACCUGCAACAAAGAAAGAGAUGCAUAAGUAUUUCAUAAAUACUUAGUGAGGGCGAUCCUCCCAUCUACGAGCUAUACACUCAAGCAAUGAGAUAACACCCACAUAUAUAACAAAAACAAACCAUCUAGCAAGCUAAACAUCCAAUAACACAUCCAAUUCACCUACAAAUCAUCACAAAACAUGUCACUCGAUCCCAAUCGCUUAGAUAAGCUCAUGGUCACGCACUCACCUUAACAAGGUUAUUUGAAUUACAAAAAAAACCAGGAAAGACUCUCCUCGUGACUGCAACAGCCAAAUAACGUCCUACAACAAACCACACUAACAAAAAUCUCUAAGAACCAAAAGGACAGAAACAGCAGAAAAACUACAGCUGCAGAAACGAAGACCUAAAACAUAAACCAACCGUUAACUUCUUAAUCCCUACGGUGAAAAUCAAGAUCCAGACGUCAAAAAGCUGCCCACAAAAAUUGGUGCCGAUCAGAGAAGCGAUGAAACCACGAUCGCACUUACAAACUCCGCUGAUCCCAGUUCGCAACAGAGAAAACGCGUCUCAC